rnacentral:piRNA from 1 species
UGAGGAAUUCCAAGCCUAUGGCUGCCCAGGA